CACGCCUGAAGUGCCUUUGGAAAAGCUGGAAGAGGAGGAUGACAGGAAUUCAGGGAAUGAUGGCUGGGAUGCAGUGAGCGAUGCUCCUGAAGAUGCAGCAAGAGCUUCCUGCUGCGGAUCAACCUGCUGCUGCACCAGCGGAGC